CGCGUAGGAAUCUACCUAGUAGUGGGGGAUAGCCCGAAGAAAUUCGGAUUAAUACCGCAUAAUCUAUUCGUAGUAAAGUGGGGGACUUUCGAGCCUCACGCUAUUAGAUGAGCCUGCGUAAGAUUAGCUUGUUGGUAGGGUAAAAGCCUACCAAGGCUACGAUCUUUAGCUGGUCUGAGAGGAUGAUCAGCCACAUCGGGACUGAGACACGGCCCGAACUCCUACGGGAGGCAGCAGUGGGGAAUAUUGGACAAUGGGGGCAACCCUGAUCCAGCAAUACCGCGUGUGUGAAGAAGGCCUGAGGGUUGUAAAGCACUUUCAAUUGUGAAGAAAAGUUAACGGUUAAUAACCGUUAGCCUUGACGUUAACUUUAGAAGA
rnacentral:rRNA from 1 species